rnacentral:rRNA from 1 species
UACGGAGGGUGCAAGCGUUAUCCGGAUUCACUGGGUUUAAAGGGUGCGUAGGCGUGCAGGUAAGUCAGUGGUGAAAUCCCCGAGCUCAACUUGGGAAUUGCCGUUGAUACUAUCUGUCUUGAAUAUCGUGGAGGUGAGCGGAAUAUGUCAUGUAGCGGUGAAAUGCUUAGAUAUGACAUAGAACACCCAUUGCGAAGGCAGCUCACUACACGAUAAUUGACGCUGAGGCACGAAAGCGUGGGGAGCAAACAGG